rnacentral:rRNA from 1 species
GAACCCUUCGGGGCGAAGAUAAAGUGGAUUAGCGGCGGACGGGUGAGUAACACGUGAGUAACCUGCCUUAGACAUUGGGAUAGCCUCGGGAAACCGGGAUUAAUACCAAAUAAAAUCAUAAUGACACAUGUCAUAACGAUCAAAACUCCGGUGGUCUAAGAUGGACUCGCGUCCCAUUAGCUAGUUGGUAGAGUAAAAGCCUACCAAGGCGACGAUGGGUAGCCGGCCUGAGAGGGUGAACGGCCACAUUGGAACUGAGAAACGGUCCAAACUCCUACGGGAGGCAGCAGUGGGGAAUAUUGCACAAUGGAGGGAACUCUGAUGCAGCGACGCCGCGUGAACGAAGAAGGCUUUCGAGUCGUAAAGUUCUUUUAUAUGGGAAGAUAAUGACGGUACCAUAAGAAAAAGCCCCGGCUAACUAC